AAUAUUUUAUUUUGUUCAUUUUUCUAGUGUAAGAGUCUUUUUUGAAACUACUGAGGGAUAUAUUGACAUUUUAAAAUUUUAAAAAUCUAAAUUUAUUUCAAAUUUCCAAAAUCUCUUAAAAAAUUUAUUAACACCCUUAACAUUUUAAAAAGAUACAUUUCAACUCCAAAUACACGACAUUUUAGAAAGGAAAAAUAUAAUGAAAAAAUCUAUAUAAAAUGACUUUCUUAUCCUUUUACUUUCCAUAAUUCAUAAACAAAAAUGGACAGAAGAUGAGAAACAAGCUUUUUGAAAUUUAAAAGGCAGGAAUAAGUCAUUUCAGCAAACCCUGGGUGGGCAAUAGUCUUUUGGCCUAAUAUUUACAAGAUAAGCACAUUUUGCCCUUCAUAGGUCCAACCAUUACACAUAGAACUUUCUUUAUUAAAAAUCUUAUCCAUAUCUAUUUAACUAGAAUUGAACAUAUAGAAAGGACCACUUUAUAGUAUAAGUUGAUAACAUCCAUGAAAGGUUAUGAAAAUAUUAAUAUGAAGUUGCAUGCAUCACUGUGUUUUGUUAUUUCCUUUUAUCUUAUGUUAUAUUAUUCUUAUUCUCUACCAAUUAUUGUUGCUCAAUUUGUAAACUAUUUCGCAAGUCAUAUCAUUAUAUCAAUCUUUCCAUCAUUAGCUUCUUGUUAUUGCCCUAUCUCUUUAUUUACUAGAGACAUGCAUAGGGUAAAUUACAAAAUCCUUAAAAUUUUUUAUAAAGUUGAUGGAAAGGAAAAAACACUAGAUCUUUAUUGAAGUUAAAUAACAAUUUACUCUUAAAAAAAAUGAUUAGUGUGGAUUUUUUGUCUUUCUAAUUGUUUUGCUCAACUUCCCAAUAGUAAUUAGCUUGUUGCUUUGUUAUUAUCUGGUUGUCCUUGGCCUUGUUGAAACUAUAGUAGUUUCCCUCAUUGCUACACCAUCUCCCUUGGUUGUGUUGCCCUCACCCUUCAAUGGAACCAUUGGGCUUUGGUCAAAUUUCAUCAAUUUUGUCUAUUUUGAUUUGUCUUGAUCUCAUCGCGUCAAACUCAAGGAUUAGGCUUCCAUUGUCACUAUUGUGUUGUUUUAUCUUUAAGGUUGUGAAUGACCAGCACUCACAAUCUGCUCAUUGUCUGCAUCCUUGCCGCCAAUGAUCAAGGGACUAUAUUCCUUUAUUGCAUCCUUUCAAAUCAAGAGGAGAAGUUGUAGGGGUUUUGAGUACAAAUUGACCUAGAUCUUUGUUGCUUCUAAGCUUGAUGGCGUAUCACACCAUCACUUGCAAAAAACUGGAUCAACAAAUUUGUUUUCCUACCACCAAGAAAUGAGAAUAGAGAAUAAUAUUGUACAAAUCAACAAGAAUACCAUUUAAUUGUUUAAAACUAAUGUUUGACUUCAAUUAAUAGACCGAAAAAUAGACUGACCUUUUAAACUUAAAGAGUGAAAGUCCAUCAUUUCAUCAAAGUUUUGUGGAAAACAAUAUUAUAUGUACACACUUUUGGUAUAUAAUUUCUAUAUAUAGAUGUGUAUCAUGAUGCGAUUGAAUGUUAUUUUAUCUUUACUUUAAAAUCACCUAAUCAUAUAAUUAUAUAUUAUCAGUAUACCUAAAUUACAUACCAAAAGUGUGUAUGCAAAAUUUUAUUAAAUUUAUAAUAUAUCACAAAUGCUAUAUAUAUGAAGUGUGUUACUGUUUUGAACCAUAUGCACUCACUCACUACCAAACUUUUCUUCUGUGUGAAAAAAUCUGCAUGGAGAAGAAAAUAGAAUCCCAUGGAGAGAACGAGGACGAGCUGAGCAGUGAGCUUGAACGGCUGUUAACCACUUCUCCCAAGGCCAAAAUUUGGAAUGGUGUUGAACUCUGUAAAUACCAAGGAUUCUUGAGCCAAUCCAAGUACCUUCGUGGCAUGAUCAGGUUUCAGAAGCACUUCCAAGCUGAAGAAAACGAUAUCAUCAUAUUAACAACUUUUCCAAAAUAUGGCACCACAUGGCUCAAAGCUCUAGUCUUCACCAUUGCAAAUCGCUCAAAAUAUUCACUAGAAAAGAGCCCCUUGCUCUCUCAAGGUCCUCAUGAGCUGGUUCAUUAUCUUGACUAUGAUCUUUUCACGAGAGACCCUCUUCCUGUUCUUUAAGACUUUCCCAAGCCAAGAAUCUUUGCACCACACACACCAUAUCCUUCUCUUUCAAGCUCUAUCAAGAACUCCAACUGUCGCAUUGUUUACGUCUGUAGAAACCCUUUGGACCAGUUUGUCUCUCAUUGGAAGUUCAUGGUGAGAGUGAGAGUUCGAAAUACAGACCCCAUUCCCAUUGAUGAAGGUUCUGAAAUGGCUUAUCAAGGCAAGCAGGAAUUUGGACCCAUGUGGGAACAGGUAUUUGGAUAUUGGGGCUAGCAAAGAAGAGCCCCACAAGGCAUUGUUCUUGAAAUAUGAAGACUUUAAAGAGAAGAACUUAUUUUAUGUAAAGAAGUCGGCUGAUUUUCUGGGAUUUCCAUUUUCUGAAGAUGAAGAGAAGCAAGGAAUGAUUGAAGAAAUUUCCAGGUUUUGUAUCUUCGAUAACAUGAGCAAUUUGGAGGUGAACAAGAAUGGUGCACAUGCCACAGGGCUGAAGAAUGAUAUCUUUGGUAAAGGCUUGGUGGGAGAUUGGAAAAAUUAUUUGACGCCUUCAAUGGCCGAGCGUCUGGAGAAAAUGAGUGAAGGAAAAUUGAGUGGCUCAGAUUUAACCUUUAAGAAAUGAACGGUACUAUGUUUACUCAUUUUAAUAUAUAACUAAGUAAAUAUUUAUGGGUGUCAACAAAUGAUUAGGUAUCAUUUUAUUAUUUAUUUAAAAUCACUCAAUUAUAUAGAUAAUAUAAUUAAAUAUAUAACUAUUUGUAUAUUUAAAAUAAAUAUAUAUAAUUUUAUUAUAAAAAAUUAUUGGCUUUUAAAACACUAAAAGAUCGGAAAUCUAAAUUUUUGGAUUGCUAGCUUUCUCUUUGUGGCUGUCUUGUGGGCUGCUUUCUCUUUAAUGUUAUCAAGUGUGAAAGAAUUUGAUGUAAACAAUUUUAAUUUGUACUCAAAAUGUCUCGUGAAUGAAUAAUUACUUCUUUUAGCA